rnacentral:lncRNA from 1 species
GGUGUGUAUCUUGAAGGAAAAAGGUAAGUUCAAAGUAUAAGAGAUGUUUCAGGGAAGUCCCUGAAUCUUUUCUUGUCUCUCCCUCAAAUACCCUCCUUACCUCCCUCUUGAUCCUCUGUUUCUGUCUUCUUUCCUCUUUGUAACUGUUUCUUUCCUUUUCUCUCCCGAUCCAGGAAAAAGAUAUAACUGCUUUCAUGUCUCUAUGAAGAUGAUGGGAAAACAUCUUUAUGUUCAAAUAAUAAUAAUAAUGGAGAUCCCGCUAUUUUUCCCCUGAAAAAUGGUAUUUCUUCAUUGUUUAUGAAUUCAGGAAGAUAUCUUUGAAAUUUUAUGGAAGAGGCUGCAUCUGUAAAGUAUGAGGAAAAUAUGUAAAUGUAUUUUUAUAUCAUUUGAUAUUCUUUUAAUAAUAUAUUUAAGUUUUUAAUAUGUCACAGAUCCAACCAACAGAUCGAGUGGUUGGAACAGUGACCUAGCGAUCUAGUCCCUUGGCCAGUUUGUUGUCCAGUCCAGGUUUGAUAACCAUGGUUGUAGAUGAAGCAAAAAAGAACAACAAUAGAAUAAAACAAUGAUGACAAAUUAAUAGUGAUGAAAUAUACAUCCUACGUUAAUAGCACUUUGACACAAUGAUAGCAUUCAUGAUCACUUAUCAGCUAACAAUCACUUAGAAAGGCCAAAAGAUGCUCUCAAUACAACCUAUCACAUGACUGGAGACAUAUUUACCUAGAUCACAAGUUCAUAGAAGUGGAUGAUGCAAAAAUACUCAGACGAAAAAGAAGAGAAAACAAGGAAAAAUGGAAUAAAAAUAAUGAUACGAAGGAAUAGGAGAAAGAAAGAGCAGAAUCUGUUUAAACAGGUCAUGCAUUCCUAGUGUUGUCAAAAGUAGCUGCCCAGGCGGUCACCUAGGCACUUAAGUUGGCCGGGCUGCCUAGACUUUAAAUCCUAUUACUUAAGGUUUUCUUUUCCCACUUUUUCUUCCUAUAUGAGCCCCAUAUGAAGACGAAAGAUGGCAAUGAAAGCUACUACCAUCCAUGUAGCAACGGCCAUUGAUAGGUCAACCAGCAGCCACAAGUAGCAACAACAGUGAUUAUCACUAGUGCCAAGGUUUGUGGAUAUUUUUUCUUUCUUUAGGUCAAACUUCAUCUCCUUCUUCCCCUUUCGUUUUUCUCUCAUUUUGUUCUUCUCCUAACCCCUCUUCAUCUGACCAUUACUUUUCUUUUUUCCCCUAAUUUUUCCCCUUCAUUCUGCUUGCUUGCCUUUGUUCUGCUUGGUAGACUUUAUCCGUUUGCUGCCUCCUUGAUGGUUGUUGGUUGCAACCUACCCCCUCCUCCUGCAACCUGUUGGUCGUUGUAAUGGUAGCAAUACUGCAGCUACUCAUCUCAUAAAUUUUGGUAUUUGAAUUUCUAAGUGUGAAAAUAGGUCUUAUGCUGCCAAUAUUGAUGAACAAAGAGCAUACGUAUGAAUAUCCCCAUGCUUAUUUCUGCAUGUAAUCAAACCUAUUUACAAGAAAAACUUGGAAGGCUUUCCUUCCCAAGCGACCACCCAUGUAUCUAGGCUCCCACCUAGGCUACAUAGAGCUCUCUCUUUUUAGCUCUAAAUUUUGAAACUCCUUUCUCUGAGCCUUUCUAUGUCAAACAGCAAUCAUGGGUGGCUCAAACGGCUGAUAAGGGUUGAUGAAACUCUCUUAGAAACUCAAUUUAUGAAAGCAGAAGCUUGACUCAUCGGCCAGCUGAAGCCAACCACCAGAUUGCAUUUGGGAUAGACUAAGGCCUCAGUUGGCAUUGUCAUGGGUAGGAGAGCUGUUGUCUAAAGAGCUUUAAGACAGUAGAGGUCACCAGUAAAGCUUUCCAUAGAAAAACUUUUUAUUGUUUCUUAACUACAUUUCUAAAGUGCUAUAAAACUAUAAUACUUGAUAACCAAACAAAAAAAAAUGCUUUUAAUAUCAAGAAAUAACAAAUAAAGAACAUUGAAUAGUGCUUUCAAUUAUCUAACUAUUUAUAGUAAUUUAUAAAUUAUUUAUUUUGAUAUUUUAAUCAAAAUUACAAUAUAAAUAAUAAAUAUAAAUAUAAACAUGAUAUUAUUUUUAUAUUGGUAUUAUAAAUAUAAUAAUAAUAUGGUAUUAUUAUUUUAAUAUAGUAUUAUAAUAGUGUUAUAGAAGUACAUUAUUAUCAUAUAAUAAUAUAUAAUUGUAAUAUGAUGAUUAAAGCAUAAUAAAAAAUAAUAAUAAUAUAUUUUUAUAUUUUUAUUAUAUUAUAUUGUACUAACAAAAACCAUUAUUACAAAGUCUUGUUAAUUUUUAAAUUAUUUUUUAUAUUUUUUAUCUAAAUAAUAUAAUAAGUAAAAUUGUUACUUUUUAGGGGUGAUUACCGGGUAAUAAAGAACAUCGUAAUAGCAAACUACAUAAAUGUUUAACUUUGCUCACCCAUACAAAAUGGUAAUAAAAUUGUUCAUAUAUCCACAACCAUCGUAGCAACAUAAUUGUUCGCCUACAUUUCUCAAUAUCUAUGCUAUAAGCACAAUAUCCUAUAUAAACAAGUCAACUACUCAUAAGAAGAGUCACAAUACAAUCAAACAAUUAAUGUUUCACUCUGUUCCAUGCUCCUUCAUGUUGUUCAUCAAUCUCUAAAUAUCAUAAGGAGGUCAUCAUCAUAAAGCUGAAACCCAAAAUCCUUAAUUGCAUGAUUGUAGCAAUAAAAAGACACCAACUUAAAUGAUUAUGACAAUAAAAGUUUAAAAAAUUCCUGUUGCAAGGACUCAAAAAAAAAAAAAGAAAAGGCUUUCUGACGCAUCUCAAGCAGCAGUUUGGCAAAAAGCUCUAACUUGGAGCUUUUCCCUAAUGGACUUUUUUUCAACUUUUCGAGGAAGUAGAAAGCUGCUUCAAAAUUUUUAACAAACACAUCAAAAACAUCCAAAAGAGCUUCUAACCCUCCAAGAAAUGCUUUUUGGCCCCCCAAAAGCAAUGCCAAACAAGGCCUAAGAAGCUAGCAUAAAAACAACGAUAAUUACCAACUCGAACAUCAUAACUAUAAUAUCAAAUCCGAAUAAAUAGCAAAAUCAUUUACAUACUUGUAUCCACAUGAAACUCAAUUUUUCCUGAGUAGGCCUACCAAAUUGCGAUCAUUUAUAAACUAACAAAUCAUUUCACUUUCGGAGUAGCAAAGGACCAUAUAUCCCUUUUCCAUGAAGAACAGAUUCACCCAAAAAGCACAGAGAGAGGUCUCCUCAAUUCUAAAGCUUUGCCCACAACUCAACUGCUCAGCCAAAAAUUCUUCAAUUCCAAAUGUAAAACAGGGUUUGAAAUUCUUACAUUCCACCAUUCACCAACUUUAUUAUUUAAGCUAGCAUGUGUUGAACUCCUCUUCCUACAUGGUGAAUUUCUCUUUUUUUUCCCCUUCCCACAGUUUUUCAACAAGAUUCUAAGAAAGAACUAGAGAAACUAAAAAUACAAACUCCCAACAAAAGCAACAUUUUCAGUCAUUCUCCAAAUGACACUGAAAAAAUGGAUUGUGGCAUGAUUAAUCAUUAUGCUUGAGUCAAAAGUCCCUCUACCAUCUAAUUUUCAACCGGAAGGGAUAUAUCUCACCAUACUGAUGUAAGCAGUUAAAUGACUAGAUCCAUUCAUACUGCUACAUGCUGGAUUGUGAAGUUGACUUACUCAUGCAACAUUUCCAAAAUCAAGAUGCCAGAUGAUCUCACCUCAUAAAUGAAACAGUAGGAAUCUAUAUUAGCUCUCUCAGAGAUUAGUUUUCUAAAGCUCGUUGAGCUUCAAACCAGGCAAAAACAAUUAACUAUAUCAGUGCACCAGCACUAUUUAGACCACUAUUGAAAAGCUUGGAUUCUGUCAAAAGUUUAAAAACCAUAAUAGCUAUGUUCAGUUGUAGGUGUCAGCACAAACAUGAAGUGGCAGGCCAGUAUGGACAGCAAGAUACCAUCAUGAAGGCAUGAAAUUACUGAGAACUUUCAAGACCAUUGCUUAUAGAAGAAAGCAUAGAAUUCCUCCCGGUGGAUAGGAGCCCUGACCAUGAAGCUAGUCGUGACACUGAUUUCAGAGGCUUUAGUUCAUACAAGGCUCCCAGCAGACAGAUGACCGUCCUAAUUAUCCAUUUAAAUUACUAAGGUGCUCUUAAAAUGAUAAAUAAUGUACUGCAUCCUCCCAUUAGUAUCACGUUCUUAGCUUGGAGAAAAGUUCAACAAAUAACACAACCCUCCCACCCCCAAAAAACAAAAAAAAAAAGCACCAAAAGUGAAAAAACCAGAAGAAGAAGCUCCUAAGGGCUGCUAUAUCCAACAUGUAACAAUGGUAAGACCCUGGAAUAAUCUACAACGCACUCAGAUAAACUGAUGAAUAAGACAUAUAGCGGGCGCUGGCAUAUUUCUUAAGAAACUUACACAUUCAUGUCACUUUUUGUACUUCUAUUAAAAUAGUCUGCCACCAAGCAGACCUCACUAAAAUGUUCAAUAACAUAAAUAACACACUAACACAACAUGUUUGCAGCAGAAGCAAUCAUAAUCUUCAAUUAUGUAAAGAUCAAUUUAAAAAACAUUUUAUUAUGGUAAUUUGUUUGACCACCACCUUCUAAAAAAAGUAUGACUGACGAAAAGAACAGAUUAAGAGAGAGAGAGAGAGAAACAACAGCUAGUUACCAUAAAAUACCUCUAGUGAUUUUUGCCUUGUAAUAUCCAGUUUCAAGAUCAACAAGUUUGAACUCAACUCUUCCUGAAACCAGAAAAAUCAUAGUAAUAAAGAUUUAUUGCAAAGUGAAGUCUUCAUAAAUAAUAAAAUAUGGACCAAACAUGACAAUUCCCUGGAAGAAUAAUUACCUUGCUGUAAAACAUUUAUACUGCACAAUCACAAAGUUAAAUUGUUAACUGCUAAGAGGAAGUUGGUUGAAUGAAAUUCUGUCAGGUUCCACUUAUGAUC